UACGAAGGGGGCUAGCGUUGUUCGGAAUCACUGGGCGUAAAGCGCGCGUAGGCGGAUUGUCAAGUCAGAGGUGAAAGCCCAGGGCCUAACCUUGGAACUGCCUUUGAAACUGACAAUCUGGAGACUCGGAGGGGAUAGCGGAAUUCCAAAUGUAGGGGUGAAAUCCGUAGAUAUUUGGAGGAACACCGGUGGCGAAGGCGGCUAUCUGGACGAGUACUGACGCUGAGGCGCGAAAGCGUGGGGAGCAAACAGGAUUAGAAACCCCGGUAGUCC
rnacentral:rRNA from 1 species